rnacentral:misc_RNA from 1 species
AAGUCGUAACAAGGUUUCCGUAGGUGAACCUGCGGAAGGAUCAUUAACACGUAUCCAACGUUAAACAACCCUGUGAACUUUCAGCGCUCUUGUAGCCCUAGAGGAACAGCAAUCCCGGUAAAUCAAAUGGCGGAAAGAGUUUUGAUUCGGGACCUCUGUCCAAAAGGUAUCAAGUUACAAUCGAGCAGAGCAGUGGCAUGGUUUCCCUAAGCAGUGCAGAAGGAUCCACUGAGUACAGGGCUUUACGCCCCUUCAUUCACCCCUUGCCUAAUCAAGCCUCGCGGAAACGCCGGGCAUAAAAACCGAACAACUGUUAACAAUGGAUAUCUUGGUUCUC